rnacentral:rRNA from 1 species
CGCUGGCGGCGUGCCUAACACAUGCAAGUCGAACGGAGAUAAACGCUGAUGAUUUAGCUUGCUAUUGAUUCUUGUUUAUCUUAGUGGCGGACGGGUGAGUAACGCGUGAGCAACCUGCCUUUCAGAGGGGGAUAACGUCUUGAAAAGGACGCUAAUACCGCAUGAGAUCGUAGUUCCACAUGGAAUAGCGACCAAAGGAGCAAUCCGCUGAAAGAUGGGCUCGCGUCCGAUUAGAUAGUUGGCGGGGUAACGGCCCACCAAGUCGACGAUCGGUAGCCGGACUGAGAGGUUGAACGGCCACAUUGGGACUGAGACACGGCCCAGACUCCUACGGGAGGCAGCAGUGAGGGAUAUUGGUCAAUGGGGGAAACCCUGAACCAGCAACGCCGCGUGAGGGAUGACGGUCUUCGGAUUGUAAACCUCUGUCCUCUGUGAAGAUAAUGACGGUAGCAGAGGAGGAAGCUCCGGCUAACUACGUGCC